GGCGGCUUUCUGGUCUGUAAACUGACGCUGAGGCGCGAAAAGCGUGGGGAGCAAACCAGGAUUAGAUACCCUGGUAGUCCACGCCGUAAACGAUGAGUGCUAAAGUGUUAGAGGGUUUCCGCCCUUUAGUGCUGCAGCUAACGCAUUAAAGCACUCCGCCUGGGGAGUACGGCCGCAAGGCUGAAACUCAAAGGGAAUUGACGGGGGCCCGCACAAGCGGUGGAGCAUGUGGUUUAAUUCGAAGCAACGCGAAGAACCUUACCAGGUCUUGACAUCCUCUGACACUCCUAGAGAUAGGACUUUCCCCUUCGGGGGACAGAGUGACAGGUGGUGCAUGGUUGUCGUCAGCUCGUGUCGUGAGAUGUUGGGUUAAGUCCCGCAACGANGCGCAACCCUUGAUCUUAGUUGCCANGCAUUCAGUUGGGCACUCUAANGGUGACUGCCGGUGACAAACCGGANGGAANGGUGGGGAUGACGUCAAAUCAUCAUGCCCCUUAUGA
rnacentral:rRNA from 1 species